rnacentral:misc_RNA from 1 species
ACUGGAUCGGUCUGUUGUUGUUGUGUGUGUAUUUAGGUCGCUUGAAGGGAUUGUGAACUGACGAUAUUACUUCCUGGUCUAACAACAAACACUUUAAUGUGUAGUUCAAGUGUAGUUAUUAUUAUAUAUAUUAUCAGGCGCAGAACGAGUAUGUGGGUUGACAAGUGUGAAGGAGUAUUCAGUGUUACAGCAUAAUAACGACACAAGUUUGUGUCAUUGGCGAACACAGCCUACACGAGUCGGGUACCAGUCGAUGGAUAACAGAUACCUGUGUUUGAGAAUUGCGGUAGCAUUCUGGAGGGAUAACCCUGUAUACGGGCAUGAGAGGACCAUAUUUACAGCAAGCAUACAAGAUGGUAUCUCCUGUGUUUGUUGACAUGGAUGUUUCUCUUACAAUUGUACUGUCGGCGUGCGUGUUCACUACACAUACACAAGGUUCCUCCACCCUGCUGCUGACAAGUUCUCCAUCAACAGCAUCACCAGGCCAGCCGUACACCUUGAUGUGUAGCAGUAGUGGUAGCGGUGGCAGGAGUAGAGCCUGGUACUGGAGGGAUGAUGUAAUCUUCCAUACACGUUACGUGUCAGACACACAAUGUACACUAGAUAUAUCCAACAAUGACAGAUAUAGGGAGUAUCUGUCAGGACGUGUCAAUGUCAGCUGUAGUUACAACCUGCACAAUGUGACUCUCAGGGUCAACACUUCCAUAGAUAAUGGAUCUGUCUGGCGGUGCGUGGAUAGUCAGGAUAGUCUGGAGAGCAACAGAUGGACGAUACACAUAAGUAACCUUAUGCCCUCAACAACAACGACUGCCGCCACUACAACUACUACAGCUGAUACAACUACUACCACAGCAACAGGUACAUCGCCGAUGUCCGAUGUCCCUUCAAGCACGGUUCUUCAAGGAGGGGGAAAAGAUUCCUCAGAUGUCGUCUCCGUCGCGGUAGGAGCAGCAGUGGGCGGAGCUGUUGUUGGCUGCGUCCUUACCGUCGUCGUCGUCGUCGUGUGGAUGAGGAGGAGACACAGAAAUGCAGAAGCCAGCACGAGCCCACCGAACAUUUACACGUGCCCGUCCCACUACGAGGACAUGGAGCACCAGUAUAGUCAGGUGGAGAGGCAGUACGUCAACAGUGUGGAGGGGAUGAAGACUGAUUCUCCACAUGCGGUGAAUGCAGAUACCCAACCACGGGAUGCCACCUACUACAACACAGUUGGUCAACAGCAGCAUCUUAAUGAAGAUGCAAAUAAGGGGGAGACAACUUACAACAACACUGCACGUGAUGAUGACAACUAAAGUCACAUCGGGACCACAGGUGAAUGUAGCAUGACAAUAUAUGUCAGCACCUAACCUGUCAAUAUGGCCCUUUGGCUAACGUUGUGACUCCAUUCUGUGCAAUAGCAGGAGGAUACACACAGGUAUUCCUGUGUAAAUGUAACUGACAAGACGAAGACAGAAUGUCAUAUAUGCCAACAAUGCCAUGAGAUACAUGUAAUGAUAUUAAACAACAUACACUGCAAAUCUAAUUAAAGUUGUGCUUGAAAGUUAUGUUCCUGGGGUACAAGUGAUCUCUGAAUAGAGAAUUUUAGAUGCGAACUAUUUUCAAUGUGUGUGCAUAAAUAUAUAAAUGGACUAUAAUUUGGUGUUGACCAACCGCGCAUAUGUAAUACAUAUAUUGAUACCAUACCUUUUGUAUAGAACACUAUAGUUCUGGCUAAAAUGUCUGUAUGUAAACUAUUUGCAACCCAUUCACGCCAAGGGAUGCUAAACUAUUAUCCUUUCUUUGUAAUGUGAUAUUACCACAAUGCUAGUAACUCAUACGGACACAAACUGUUCAUUGAGACAUCUAGCAUCAGUAGUUCGGAGUGUGGAUCCCAUUCUCUCUCUGCUUGGAUUCUAAUUUGCGUCUGGUGCUAGAAAACAGAAGGCGUAUUUCCAUACGUGUCGCGUUACGCCACAUUGUUUGUGAACGUUCUCUGGAAUGUACAUUACGACUGCACGGUAUUACCAGCAUACCGGUAAUAUUUCAAUUAUUUGUUCAACUUUAAUCCAUUCAACACCGUAGGAAAGACUUCCGCCCGUGUACCCCCUAAAUGUUAAUGUCCUUCCAAGUGAUUGGCUACGGGUCCACUUAAAAAAUUGUCAAAGAGCAAUUUGAAAGUAUCGAUGUUUCGAGGAAAUCAUUAAAAUUGAAGAAACUAAUGAGUAAAAUCUACAGUUUUCAUAAAAGUUGUCAAACGUACAUCUACGUUUCUUACUAUUUCCAUCAUUCCGUGCGAUCAUGUCAUGCAAGUUAAAUGGCAUCUCGGCUUUCGUCGCCUCGAUCUUCAGGCUCCGACACAAUGUUUAAUGUGAAACAAAUUGCAUAAAGAAUAUUUGUCACAGGUCGCCACCUAGCACGAUACGUCCAAUACGUUCCACAAUUUAUGUACUUAUGGGGAUGUCCUGCUUAACACAUUCAGAAUAGCAUCAUUGUACCCAAAACUAGGACGGUAUCCAUUGCUGUAAUAUAAUUGGCUGCCUUACGUUACGUGCAUGAUCUUUACCAAUCACGAACCUUAUGCCAGCCUGUGGCGAAAAAGCGUCAUUUUGAACCAUUUAUUAUCCAAUAAAAUAACUGCGAAAAUACUCCUGGUAAGGUUAUUGUGAUAUUAUUGAUGAUUAGAGCAUUCGAACGAUACCCGCCAUCAAAUGAAUCUUGUCGUGUGUUAUUCAUAUGGAGCUUAGAAAAUGGAGGCAUUACCCAAUGUUGAGUCGUGUUACCAGGCGAAAAGCCACGGCUAUCGGGAAAUAGGCCACCACACAUAUUUUUUUUAUUAAUUAAUCUUCAGUUAAUAAUUUGCUGAUUACGUAAAAAUGAAAAUAUAUAAUAAACAGGUUAGAGGAUAUUAUGACAUUUUACAAAUGUAUUAAAGUAGCGGGAGUUUUCGUCUCCUUCCUGGUUUAACUGGACAUUAUGAGUGUGUAAACCUUUUUAUUUAUUAGAAAUAAACUUGUUUAAGUUGAAGUUGUAUUAUUUGAACAAUACCGGUAAGUUAAUAUUAACUUUUGUAUUUAUCAACGGUGUAUUCCCAGAGUGGCCCCUCUGUCUCUAACGUAACAACCAAAUUCAGGGGCCACUACGGGACAACUCGUUUAAGAAGGUGUGAAUGUUGUCAAAACAAAGAGAUAAGCUGCUACUGGGAGUAGAAGGUAGCUGCUGAUGCUGUUAAGAAGGUGUGAAUGUUGUCUAAACAAAGAGGUAAUCUGCUACUGGGAGUAGAAGGUGGAGGCUGAUGCUGUUAUGAAGGUGUGAAUGUUGUCUAAACAAAGAGCUAAUCUGCUACUGGGAGUAGAAGGUGGUAACUUCAGAGUACUAAGAGUCUAGUUACCAUUAAUGGUUGGGGUAAUAAUGUAUCUUUCAUUUGAAUGUUGUUAACUGCUGGCCUGAGGAGGAAGCCUGUGUAAUAAUCUAUCUUCAAUUUUGUGUGUGUGUGUUUAUCCUUUUCUUGUAUUUUGCUAUAAGUAGACUUAUGGGUGAUUGUUGGUCAUCAGGCAUGGCUCGGAAGGGAGAGAUUGUUCCUGGUAGACAAAAUGGACUUGAUAUUUUGAUGGAGGGUUUCAGGUAUAACAAGAAGAAGGAAAACAAGAAUGGCACAGUAGCGUGGCGUUGUCGUCAGACAGGUUGUGGGAAGGGCCACUCCGGGAAUAAAUGUUAUUGUUAAUGCAAGACACAUAUGUUUCAUUUUUUCUGUGCACAUUUCCCUCCUGCAGAUAUUUUCACAUAUUUUUCAUUUGCAUAUUUCAUGCAUUAUAAAUGUCUUCCUAAUGUGUACAGUCUCCGUAGCACAGUGCAGCUCUUACUUCAUCCUAGUAUCAGCUAUUACCUCCCUUGUUAGUAACCCAGCCAGCUAGGGUUCAAUCCCAGCUUUCUAAUAAAAACAUUGCAGAUUUGUUAUGUUUCAUAUCCCAUAGAAACACUUUCCCGUCAUGUGACCAUAAAAGCACAUGUGGUACUGGGACCCCACGCUUCAGUGUGGUAGCAGCCUCCAUAGCGUCAAGAGGUCUCCUCUGACUGUUAAUAUCAAUGUAGCACACAGAAACACAAAUGUAAGUCUUGCAUCUUUAUUAUGUCACAGUUACUAUUCUGUUUUGUAUAAAUAUAAUGUUUAAUAGUCUUCUUUGAAGUUCAUGGCCUCAUAAUGUUAUUGUUACAUGCAAUAUUUUCUUAAAGUGUUCAAAUAAUCUUCAAAGGUUUUCAAAGUUUUAAACAUGAAUUUAGAUGAUAUUUUGUCAAUGCAUUGUAUUUUAUAGUCAAAUUAUAUUACAAAUUGUUUCUGUUUAUUCUAGUUUUCCAAACCUCAUCCACUCAUCCACUCGUCUAUAUCCUUUCACACUAUGGCUAACGACCAACGUCCAACGUGUAUUUUACAUUUGUCACCGUACAUCAACGCAUAACGUACCAUUGUUUACCAUCAAAGAAUAAAACCCUGUGGAUGCGA